rnacentral:rRNA from 1 species
UACGUAGGGGGCGAGCGUUGUCCGGAGUUACUGGGCGUAAAGGGCAUGCAGGCGGUCCGACACGUUUUGUGUGACAGCGGGUGGCUUAACUACCCGAGGAUACGAAAGACGGUAGGACUUGAGGACUCGAGAGGGACGUGGAAUUCCGGGUGUAGUGGUGAAAUGCGUAGAGAUCCGGAGGAACCCCAGAGGCGAAGGCGGCGUCCUGGCUCGCAACUGACGCUCAGACACGACAGCAUGGGGAGCGAACGGG